AGAGUUUGAUCCUGGCUCAGGACGAACGCUGGCGGCGUGCCUAAUGCAUGCAAGUCGCACGCACGGUGCUUGCACCGUGAGUGGCGCACGGCUGAGUAACUCGUGGGUACCUGCCUUCCAGUGGGGGAUAACAGCCCGAAAGGGCUGCUAAUCCCGCAUACGCUCACUCUCGGGUGAGGAAAGUGGCAACGCGCUGGAAGAGGGGCCUGCGGCCCAUCACGGUAGUUGGCGGGGUAAUGGCCCACCAAGCCUUUGACGGGUAGCUGGUCUGUGAGGACAACCAGCCAGACUGGGACUGAGAUACGGCCCAGACUCCUACGGGAGGCAGCAGCAAGGAAUUUUCCACAAUGGGCGCAAGCCUGAUGGAGCAACGCCGCGUGCAGGAUGACGGCUUUCGGGUUGUAAACUGCUUUUUGGGGGGAAGACAACGACGGUACCCCCAGAAUAAGCCUCGGCUAACUCUGUGCCAGCAGCCGCGGUAAGACAGAGGAGGCAAGCGUUGUCCGGACUUACUGGGCGUAAAGCGUCCGCAGGUGGUCGUGCAAGUGCGCUGUGAAAGCGCUCGGCUUAACUGAGCGAGGCCAGUGCAGACUGCACGACUCGAGACCGGGAGAGGUCGGUGGAAUUGCCGGUGUAGUGGUGAAAUGCGUAGAGAUCGGCAGGAACACCCAAGGGGAAGCCAGCUGACUGGCCCGGUACUGACACUCAGGGACGACAGCGUGGGGAGCGAACCGGAUUAGAUACCCGGGUAGUCCACGCCGUAAACGAUGGACACUCGUCCUUUGCGGGGUAACCAUUCCUCGUGUGGGGCUCAGCUAACGCGGAAGUGUCCCGCCUGGGAACUACGAGCGCAAGCUUAAAACUCAAAGGAAUUGACGGGGGCCCGCACAAGCAGCGGAGCGUGUGGUUUAAUUCGACUACGCGCAGAACCUCACCCAGAUUUGACAUGCAGCUGCAAGCUUCUGAAAGGAAGUCGCCUUCGAGGGUGCUGCACAGGUGCUGCAUGGCUGUCGUCAGCUCGUGUUGUGAGAUUUUGGGUUAAGUCCCGCAACGAGCGCAACCCCCGCGGCUAGUUACUCGUGUCUAGCCGGACUGCCCGAUUGGGAGGAAGGUGGGGAUGACGUCAAGUCCGCAUGGCCCUUACGUCUGGGGCGACACACACGCUACAAUGGCGCCGACAAUGCGUUGCAACCCGGCAACGGGAAGCGAACCGCACAAACGGCGUCCCAGUGCAGAUCGGGGGCUGCAACUCGCCCCCAUGAAGGCGGAGUUGCUAGUAACCGCGUAUCAGCCAUGGCGCGGUGAAUACGUACCCGGGCCUUGUACACACCGCCCGUCUCGUCAUGGGAGUUGGCAAUGCCUGAAGUCCGUGGGCUGACCCGCAAGGGGGGCAGCGGCCGAGGGCAGGGUCAGCGACUGGGACGAAGUCGUAACAAGGUA
rnacentral:rRNA from 1 species